rnacentral:lncRNA from 1 species
AGGGGUAAAAGCAUGUCUACGAAGAAAAGUAUGUGAACAGGAAGAAAAGUAUGAAAUUCCUGAAGGUCCACGCAGAAGCAGGCUCAACAGAGAACAGCUGCACUUGAUUCUGAAAGAUGAUCACGAUGAGCAGUAAAAUCCAGAAGUUGCCAAAGCUGUUUGAUGGAUGCUACUUCUAUUUGUGGGGAACCUUCAAACACCAUCCAAAGGACAACCUUAUUAAGCUCGUCACUGCAGGUGGGGGCCAGAUCCUCAGUAGAAAGCCCAAGCCAGACAGUGACGUGACUCAGACCAUCAAUACAGUCGCAUACCAUGCGAGACCCGAUUCUGAUCAGCGCUUCUGCACACAGUAUAUCAUCUAUGAAGAUUUGUGUAAUUAUCACCCAGAGAGGGUUCGGCAGGGCAAAGUCUGGAAGGCUCCUUCGAGCUGGUUUAUAGACUGUGUGAUGUCCUUUGAGUUGCUUCCUCUUGACAGCUGAAUAUUAUACCAGAUGAACAUUUCAAAUUGAAUUUGCACGGUUUGUGAGAGCCCAGUCAUUGUACUGUUUUUAAUGUUCACAUUUUUACAAAUAGGUAGAGUCAUUCAUAUUUGUCUUUGAAUCAAAAAAAAAAAAAAA